rnacentral:rRNA from 1 species
CCUACGGGAGGCAGCAGUGGGGAAUCUUGCGCAAUGGGCGAAAGCCUGACGCAGCCAUGCCGCGUGAAUGAUGAAGGUCUUAGGAUUGUAAAAUUCUUUCACCGAGGACGAUAAUGACGGUACUCGGAGAAGAAGCCCCGGCUAACUUCGUGCCAGCAGCCGCGGUAAUACGAAGGGGGCUAGCGUUGCUCGGAAUUACUGGGCGUAAAGGGAGCGUAGGCGGAUAGUUUAGUCAGAGGUGAAAGCCCAGGGCUCAACCUUGGAAUUGCCUUUGAUACUGGCUAUCUUGAGUACGGAAGAGGUAUGUGGAACUCCGAGUGUAGAGGUGAAAUUCGUAGAUAUUCGGAAGAACACCAGUGGCGAAGGCGACAUACUGGUCCGUUACUGACGCUGAGGCUCGAAAGCGUGGGGAGCAAACAGGAUUAGAUACCCUGGUAGUCCACGCUGUAAACGAUGAGUGCUAGUUGUCGGCAUGCAUGCAUGUCGGUGACGCAGCUAACGCAUUAAGCACUCCGCCUGGGGAGUACGGUCGCAAGAUUAAAACGUCAAAGGAAUUGACGG